rnacentral:rRNA from 1 species
AUUGAACGCUGGCGGCAUGCUUUACACAUGCAAGUCGAACGGCAGCGCGGGCUUCGGCCUGGCGGCGAGUGGCGAACGGGUGAGUAAUGCAUCGGAACGUGCCCAGUAGUGGGGGAUAGCCCGGCGAAAGCCGGGUUAAUACCGCAUACGACCUGAGGGUGAAAGCGGGGGACCGAAAGGCCUCGCGCUAUUGGAGCGGCCGAUGUCGGAUUAGCUAGUUGGUGGGGUAAAGGCUUACCAAGGCGACGAUCCGUAGCUGGUCUGAGAGGACGACCAGCCACACUGGGACUGAGACACGGCCCAGACUCCUACGGGAGGCAGCAGUGGGGAAUUUUGGACAAUGGGGGCAACCCUGAUCCAGCCAUGCCGCGUGCGGGAAGAAGGCCUUCGGGUUGUAAACCGCUUUUGUUCGGGAAGAAAUCCUCUGGGCUAAUACCCCGGGGGGAUGACGGUACCGGAAGAAUAAGCACCGGCUAACUACGUG